rnacentral:rRNA from 1 species
GACUACAACGUUGAUAGGCAAGAUGUGGAAGUGGUGUGAGCCAUUAAGCUAACUUGUACUAAUUACCCGUGAGGCUUAACCAU